rnacentral:misc_RNA from 1 species
UACGGUGGGUGCAAUCGUUAAUCGGUAUUACUGGGUCUAAAGCGCGCGUAGGCGGCGUGAUAAGCCGGUUGUGAAUGCCCCGGGCUCAACCUGGGAACGGCAUCCGGAACUGUCACGCUAGAGUGCAGGAGAGGAAGGUAGAAUUCCCGGUGUAGCGGUGAAAUGCGUAGAGAUCGGGAGGAAUACCAGUGGCGAAGGCGGCCUUCUGGACUGACACUGACGCUGAGGUGCGAAAGCGUGGGUAGCAAACAGG